AACUGGGGCCAUUUCAUCUCUUUCAAUGGCCCGGCAUCAUCAUCGCUGUAUGCAGGCCUGACCUCAGGCAGAAGGGAGUGAGGCAGCAUGACAUAGGAUGAAGCAGAAAGGCACUGGGGUGAGUGGGCCGGCGUCUGAAUGCCCACUCUCUAGCUGUGUGAUCUUAGGGAUCAUGACUGCUUCCCAGACCUUAGUCUCAGGAUGCCACACCGGAAGAGCUGGACCCCACAUUUGAAGACAGAUGUCCCUGGCGGUGCCCGCCUGCUCUGUAAAGAGCUAGUCCCAGGCUCCCAUUGUGACCUAGCACCUCAACCUCUCCUGACCCUUUUGCCUAGGCCAGAUCCUGAGAUCGGAGAGUACAUACAUCUCCCUGGGGCUUGCUUUCCUCUCCCAUAAAAUUUAGGAGUUGGGGAUGAUCUUAUCCCUCUACCUAGACUGUAGACUCCUGGGAGCGGGAGGCAAGGCACUCACAAGCAAGGGCAUCAGAGUGACAUCAAGACACAAACAGCCAUGGAAUCUUGGGAACAGAUCAAGGAGUCCACCUCUUAAAAUAUUGUAAAAAAUAAAAUCUGAGUACGAAUGUUGGUGAAAA